AGGAAAAGGGUAGCUGUAGUGGGGGCUCCCUGGAGUACAGUGGUUUGGCAAGCAACAGUCACUGGCGCUCAGCAGUUCCUCUUUACUGUGGGAGUUACCCUGCCACAAAGCUGUAACCGCAGGGGGAAGUCUUCAAGUGCUGCUUCCCAUGGCUGAGCCGAGGUCCAGCUUCCAAAUGGGCCCAUGGGUGCUCACCAACUGUGCAGAGGACACUGCCUGUUUAAUUCUGGGGCACGGGGAGGCCUUUGGCAAAGUUGAUGACUGACUGACUGCCAUGAACGAUCUUAGGGCUCUCAGCACUAAUUUGCCCUACAGCCCCCCAGGAGUCUGCUGUGUGGUGGCUGUCAGUCCACCAGGUGUGUGUGUGUGGGGGGGGUGUCAGUGGAGGCAGUGCUGACAAGACCAGGUCUGCUCUACGGAUCAGCUGCUCGCAGGGCAUGGUGACAGUUCCACCCAGAAGAGGAGGAUGGAGCUGGUGUUGGUGGGGACACAGUGAAGACCGCUGAUUCCUGAUGAAAUGGGAGCCGAGUACCUUAUUUAUCAGGCUGCCUACAUGUCUCCGGUACUUGUCAUUCUCCUCGAUAAGUCUGCUGCAGUGGUCUUCUUUGCUCUCCAGAAGGCCCCCUAGCUUUGUGAUCUGUGGAGAAACAUCAGCAAAGAUGUAACCUGGAAACCACCGCGAAGCAGGCGGAAAAUAAAAGAAACCCAUCAGCUCUAUUUUAUUGUACUGCCCUCUGAAACUGAGUUCUAAUGAGGGAUACAUAAUGAAACCUAGGGCCUAGCUCUGAUGGGGAGCUCCACUUCCAGGCCUAUCAUCAUCAUCAUCAUCAUCACCAUCAUCAUCACCAUCAUCAUCAAUUUUGAGGCAUGGUCUCCCUAAGUUUGCCAAGCUGGCCUUCAAUUCAAUAUAUAGCCUAAAUUAGCCUCACCCCUGAAACCCUCCUUCCUCAGCCUCUAGGGUUCUGGGAUUAUAGGCAUUGAUCUUUCCUUUUCUUCUCUUUUGAAGGUGAAUGGCUAUGUGAGGAAUAUAGUGCCUAAGUCUGCUUGUAAGUUACUUAGAAAUACAGGACAGACUUCUGGGCUGUAUCCUUUUCAUUACAGCGAGACCAUGGAGGUUCCUUGGAUAGUUUUCAUUGCAUUUGUGGCACGGUGUAAUAAUCUACCUAAUAUACGCCAAGUCUACUGUGAUAAAAUUAGAACACUUCACAUUUCCAUCUCUGUACAUCUUUUAAAAACAAUCUUUGAUUAUCGUGUAACAGUUAUACAUUUUAAUGCGGCUAAAUGAAUGGAACAGGAGGAUAUUAAAGUAAAUGAAAUUCAUCAGACUCAGGAAGAUAAACACUGCAUGUUCUGUUUCAUAGAUAGAUGGCUGUAAACAGUUGAAAUGAAUGUCCAAUUGUGAUGUUUAGAGGCUGGGAAGGAUGAGGAGAAGACAGGAUAGCAGGGGCUGGAUAGGAGGUAUCAAGACACAGAGAGUGGAUUGAUCCAGUGUCCACAGUAACCUGCAACAUAUCCUAUAAAUAAUCGGUGGGGAGGCAACCAAAACUCCAAACACAAUGUUAUGGUAAGAAGAAAUCGAUUUGAUUAAUACACAUUGUAUAUGCAUGUUAAAAAACUGUACGAACAAAGGAAUAUUACACUGUGCCAAUUCAGUUCUUAAUUGUUUUCUGUAACUGUCUAAACACCGAAACCAUGUUUUUAUUUUCUUCCAUUUUUCUGCAUUCUCCUUUGGACUACCUCAGGUAACUAAGAGUGACUUCUAACCACUGUGACUGAAUGCAGCUAGGAAGGCAGGAUACACAAAAACCGAAGCUUCAUCCACAGUGAAAAGUAGCACACAUUUCGGAGAGCUGUGUGCAGUGAACCCCUGUAUCCUAGAUCUUCAGAAGCGGAGGUAGAACACUGUGGGAGGAAGACUGGAUGAACUAGACAGUAAGAUCCUAUCUCAAAAAAUAAAUACGGGCCGGAGAGAGGGUCAGCAGUCCAAAGCAUGUUUGCUGCUCUUUCGGAGGAUGUGAGUUUGGUCCCAACACCGGCAUCCGGCAGCUCAUACUCAACUUAAGCACCACCUCCAGGGGAUUGGACACCCUCUUCUCGCCUCUGAGGGCAUGGAUGUACAUACACACAGAUGAAUAACAGUUUUAAAGUUAAAAACUAAAAAAGGAGGGUUAUCACUAGUAGUAGGUAGAGCACUUGGCUGGCAGGAGGGAAGCCUUGGGUUUGGUCCCUAGAAAUGGGGAAAAUAAAAGCACAGUUACCUUUUGGCUUCUGUGUUUUGAAAUGCAUAAAUUUUA